rnacentral:rRNA from 1 species
CUGCGAGUGGAGAGGGAAAAGCUCAAAUUUAAAAUCUGGCAGUUUCACUGUCCGAGUUGUAAUUUAGAGAAGUGUUACCCGCGCUGGACCGUGUAUAAGUCUCCUGGAAUGGAGCGUCAUAGAGGGUGAGAAUCCCGUCUUUGACACGGACUACCAGGGCAUUGUGGUGCGCUCUCGAAGAGUCGAGUUGUUUGGGAAUGCAGCUCUAAAUGGGUGGUAAAUUCCAUCUAAAGCUAAAUAUUGGCGAGAGACCGAUAGCGAACAAGUACCGUGAGGGAAAGAUGAAAAGAACUUUGGAAAGAGAGUUAAACAGUACGUGAAAUUGCUGAAAGGGAAACGCUUGAAGUCAGUCGCGUUAUCCGGGGAUCAGCCUUGCUUUUGUUAGGUGUACUUCCUGGAUGACGGGUCAGCAUCAGUUUCGACCACUGGAAAAAGACUUGGGGAAUGUGGCACCUUCGGGUGUGUUAUAGCCUCUUGUCGUAUGCAGUGGUUGGGACUGAGGAACUCAGCACGCCGCAAGGCCGGGUUUCGACCACGUUCGUGCUUAGGAUGCUGGCAAAAUGGCUUUAAGCGACCCGUCUUGAAACACGGACCAAGGAGUCUAACAUGCUUGCGAGUGUUUGGGUGGAAAACCCGAGCGCGCAAUGAAAGUGAAAGUUGGGAUCUCUGUCGUGGAGAGCACCGACGCCCGGACCAGAUGUUUACUGACGGAUCUGCGGUAGAGCACGUAUGUUGGGACCCGAAAGAUGGUGAACUAUGCCUGAAUAGGGCGARGCCAGAGGAAACUCUG